ensembl:lncRNA
GGGGGGCCCUCAGAGGAGGCUGCUGAAAGGAGAGCCCUUUAUAGGCCUCACCCACGCAGCAAGGCCCAGCCCAGCGGUCCUUGGCAGCAUCCCACCCUCCCGUGUGCCCCUGGGCAGGGAGGACCCAUGGUGGGGGGGCCUCUGUCUGCCACUCUCUGUGGGAUGAACCGAUGAGCAGAGCCACCCCCUGUCUCUCGGAUCCCCCCUGAACACUCCAGGCUACAGGGGCCUCUCCAGCCCACGAGCACUUGAUCAUAAAAGGAGCUGGGAGGGAGCAGGGGAGGGCGGAAGGAGGGGGCUGCAGGUCAAGGGCUGACCAGAGGGGCGCUCCACUCACCCUGCGGGGCUUCAUUGUUUUCUUAAGGAACCUGGGGAAUUUUGCUGUCCACUCCCUCACAGAUCUGUGUUUGUUUUCAUAUUUCCUGAUGCCCUCCCCGCCGCCACAAGGGCUUGGAGUGACUGACUGCAGAGAGCGGAACGCUGGCAUCCCGCAUGCCCUGGCACAGCCCAGUGCCCACAGACACCCUCCUCCCUCCACACAAGCCAGUCUUCGCCUCCUCCCGCCCCAGAUUUUACCCCCACCAUGUCAUCAAAGUCCCUUGAAACCCGACCUCCAUAAUGUGUCACAAUCAUUUGUUUCUUUUUCUUUUCUUUUUUCUCUUUGCGUUUUUUAGGGCUGCACCUGCGGCAUAUGGAGACAAAAAAAUAAAACUAAAAGAUGAGAAUUAUUUCUUAUUCAGUGACCUUAUUGAGACUCUAGCUGGGGAGACAGCCUCAGCGACACUGAGGGGCUGUUCCAAAGAGGUAAGAGAGGACCCAGGAGAUAUAAGAGCUUUUGCUGGGGAAAAAAAAAAAAAGUACUUGAGCAUCAGAAGGUCACUGCACGGAGUUCCUGCUUUGGCACAGUGGGGUUCUGUUGUCAUCUUCAGGGCCGCUCCCGCAGCAUGUGGAAGUGCCUAGGCUAGUGGUGGAAUCAGAGCUGCAGCUGCCAGCCACAGUCACAGCAACACUGGAUCCGAGCCGUAUCUGCAACCUAUGCAGCAAGCAGCUUGCGGCAAUGCUGGAUCUUUAACCCACCGAGAGAGGCCAGGGAUCAAAACUGAAUCCUCAUGGAUACUAGUUGGGUUCUUUUUUUUUUUUUUCCUCAGGGAUGCAGGGUGGCAUAUGGAAAUUCCCAAGCUAGGGGUCGAAUCAGAGCUGCAGCUGCCGGCCUACACCACAACUCAUAGCAAUGCUGGAUCCUUAACCCACUGAGCAGGGCCAAAGAUCAAACCCACAUCCUCAUGGAUACUAGUAGGGUUUGUUACCACUGAGCCACAACAGGAACUCCCACUAGUCGGGUUCUUAACCCACUGAGCAAUGACAGGAACUCCACACAGUGUGUUAAGAAUGUGACUGCGGCAGCUCAGGUCGCUGUGGAGGUGUGCGUUUGAUCCUCAGCCCGGUACACAGUUGGCUAAAGGAUCUGGUGUUGCUGCAGCUGUGGCGUAGGUCGAAGCUGUGGCUCAGAUUCAUCCCCGGCGCAGGAACUUCCACAUGCCAUGGGUGCAGCUAUAAAAUUAAAAAAGAAAGUUUACUGCUAGUCUGGGGGAGGGCAGCUGCAAUGGCUGAUGGAUUGAUGGCAGGCAACACUGGUUGUUACUGAAAUGGCAAGUGACAUUUUUUUUUUUUUGGUUCACAGCAUAUACUUAGCUUACUGGUGCUACUU